rnacentral:piRNA from 1 species
UGUGUACAUUGUAGGAACGUCAGAG